rnacentral:ncRNA from 2 species
AGCAGAGUAGGUAUUUGUGCGUUAAGUGCUAAAAGAACGGGAAGUUGUCUUUUAGACGAAAAAUGAAAUUUCAUUUGCGAUGCAUAUACCGCAUUCCGCUGCU